rnacentral:tRNA from 1 species
GCCGGUUUGGCUCAGUGGAUAGAGUGUUUGCCUGCGGACUAAAGGGUCACAGGUUUGAUUCCAGUCAAGGGCA